rfam:Schistosoma mansoni strain Puerto Rico chromosome 3, complete genome
GCACUGCUGAGGAGCCCCACAAUAGGGCAAAACGGUCGUCCAGUAC